UCCACAGUGAAAAUGAAAGAAUAGUAUCAUUAUUCGACAGUAAACAUGACUAGCAUUACGAAAUCAUCAUGGUGGAAUUUAGUUAAAUAUGAAGAAACUGAAUGACAAAGCAUAUUCUACGUUAUACAACUUUAAUAAUUGUAUUAAAAUGAAUAUUUUUUACUGCAACAACAUCUUACCUGUUAGUUAUAAAGCACCUGCACGAUCUGUUCGUGAAAUGUCCUAAAUAUUCACCUAUUUUGGUAUAUAUUUCACAGCUGGAUGGCUUUAGGCGCGAUAAAACUCCGCUCGCAUCUCUUACUUUGUUUAA
rnacentral:lncRNA from 1 species